AAGAUACUCCCUCCGUUCGGAAUUACUUGUCUCGGAAAUGGAUGUAUCUAGAACUAAAAUACAUCUAGAUACAUCCAUUUCCGCGACAAGUAAUUCUGAAUGGAGGGAGUAGGUC
rfam:Triticum urartu cultivar G1812 contig856692, whole genome shotgun sequence.